rnacentral:rRNA from 1 species
GAUGAACGCUAGCUAUAGGCUUAACACAUGCAAGUCGAGGGGAAACGGCAUUAUGUGCUUGCACAUUUUGGACGUCGACCGGCGCACGGGUGAGUAUCGCGUAUCCAACCUGCCCUUUACUUGGGGAUACCCCGUUGAAAGACGGCCUAAUACCCGAUGUAAUUCAUUGAUGGCAUCAGAUAUGAAUAAAAGAUUUAUCGGUAAAGGAUGGGGAUGCGUCUGAUUAGCUUGUUGGUGAGGUAAAGGCUCACCAAGGCGACGAUCAGUAGGGGUUCUGAGAGGAAGGUCCCCCACAUUGGAACUGAGACACGGUCCAAACUCCUACGGGAGGCAGCAGUGAGGAAUAUUGGUCAAUGGGCGCAAGCCUGAACCAGCCAAGUAGCGUGCAGGAAGACGGCCCUAUGGGUUGUAAACUGCUUUUAUACGAGAAUAAUUUGAUGCACGUGUGCGUUAUUGCAUGUAUCGUAUGAAUAAGGACCGGCUAAUUCCGUGCCAGCAGCCGCGGUAAUACGGAGGGUCCAGGCGUUAUCCGGAUUUAUUGGGUUUAAAGGGAGUGUAGGCGGUUUGUUAAGCGUGUUGUGAAAUUUAGGUGCUCAACAUUUAACUUGCAGCGCGAACUGUCAGACUUGAGUACACGCAACGUAUGCGGAAUUCAUGGUGUAGCGGUGAAAUGCUUAGAUAUCAUGAAGAACUCCGAUUGCGAAGGCAGCAUACGGGAGUGUAACUGACGCUUAAGCUCGAAGGUGCGGGUAUCGAACAGG